rnacentral:rRNA from 1 species
GUCUAUGGCCAUACCACCCUGAACGCACCCGAUCUUGUCUGAUCUUGAAAGCUAAGCAGAGUCGGGCCUGCUUAGUACUUGGAUGGAAGACAGAUCUUCAGGAGAGACU